rnacentral:lncRNA from 1 species
AGCAGUCAGGAAGCAGCACUGGCGGUGGGGGGAAGGACAUAGAAACGUCUGCGAAUGAAUCCAAACUCAAAAAUUGUUCUCCAAUGUCAUAGGAGCAGCAGGCCUGGCUCCUGCCCAGGAGGCACCUGGCCUAGAUCUCAGCGUCACUGCGGAGUUAACCAAGGGAAGCGGCACCAGCAUCACACCCUGUUCCAGCCAACAGUCUCCAGCGUCCCUGACAGAUGUCGGGAAGUUCUUUUCCCCGUAAGAUCCCGGAGAAUGUCCUGAGGCUGCCGUGUGGAAGCUCUGGGGCCUUUCUCGUCUCCCACUGCCAGCUUAAUGAGCUGUGCUGGUAGCAACAGAUGGCGCCCCGCAGGGUCUCACUUGGAUAGCUUGGAAAGUUCCUGGACACCAGUUGGACUUGCCGCGAAAACCAUUAAUCUGGCCUUUCAGAGAAAAUCUUCAGAAGAAUGUAUUUGCAAGAAUCUCAGGUCUGACAUGGAAGAAGUUUUGAUGACUUACUGCCAACUUUGUAUCACCCCCAAAAUGCUUUAGAGAAAUAUCUCUCUACAGAGGAAAGCAAGGAACUGUGACUUUAACUAGUGAAUUGGAUCAACGUGUCCAGCUAAUUCAGGUACCAAAUCCUAUUUUUCUGUAACAGCAGAAAACUGUCACGACUGCCACUGAGCUCAACUUUUCCUGAACAGACUCAGCUAAAAUCCUUGCCAUGUCUCAGUUCUCAUUUCACUAUGCUAAUUAGGGAGCCCAGAGGGUGAGUCUACACAUGUAAAAUGGAUGGAUCUUAACACAUCGAUGCUUUGUUUUUAGCCAGAUUGCUGCACAACUGAUUCCACUUCUGCAGCAACUGCCAUCCAUCACCAGGACUGCUCUGCCUGGGGACAGCCAGGCCACAGCCCUGCUGACGUCUGCAUGGGUCUUGGACGUGGUCUAGGGCCAGAACGCAGUGAUGAAGCUGGUGGUUUGUAGAGGCUUUUACUACAAGUAACAUCCCUCAUUUGAUGAAAUAGAUAUCUUUCUGCCAACUUGGCUCUGUCACUGAAACCUGGUGUUUUUGUCUGGUAAUUCUUCAAAUUUGAUGUUUUAAAGAAUGUUAAGUGAAUUAAUUCCUCCUUUUUGUCAGUGCUAUAAGUUCCAUACAGAGUUUGCUCAGUCUGAAGUACAUCUGUAUUAAUUAGACAAACUAAAGCAUUGGGUGGAUCUAAACGGUUCCUUUUAAUGAUUUUUCUCCACGAUGACAAGGCACACUAUACAAACAACCACCUGAUUUUAGCAAGAGGGCUAAAAAUUAUAUUGCAUAAAUGGAGUUGCAUUAUUUAAACUUAAAUUCAGGCCAGGUGCGGUGGCUCACGCCUGUAAUCCUAGC